AGUGGCGGACGGGUGAGUAACGCGUGAGAAUCUGCCUUGGGGUCGGGGACAACCACUGGAAACGGUGGCUAAUACCGGAUAAGCCGAUUGGUGAAAGAUUUAUUGCCCGAAGAGGAGCUCGCGUCUGAUUAGCUAGUUGGUGAGGUAAGAGCUCACCAAGGCAGCGAUCAGUAGCUGGUCUGAGAGGACGAUCAGCCACACUGGGACUGAGACACGGCCCAGACUCCUACGGGAGGCAGCAGUGGGGAAUUUUCCGCAAUGGGCGAAAGCCUGACGGAGCAAGACCGCGUGAGGGAGGAAGGCUCUUGGGUUGUAAACCUCUUUUCUCAGGGAAGAAGCUCUGACGGUACCUGAGGAAUCAGCCUCGGCUAACUCCGUGCCAGCAGCCGGUAAUACGGAGGAGGCAAGCGUUAUCCGGAAUUAUUGGGCGUAAAGCGUCCGCAGGUGGCGAUUCAAGUCUGCUGUCAAAGCACGGGGCUUAACUCCGUAAAGGCAGUGGAAACUGAAUAGCUAGAGUGCCGUAGGGGUAGAGGGAAUUCCCGGUGUAGCGGUGAAAUGCGUAGAGAUCGGGAAGAACAUCGGUGGCGAAAGCGCUCUACUGGACGGCAACUGACACUCAGGGACGAAAGCUAGGGGAGCGAAUGGGAUUAGAUACCCC
rnacentral:rRNA from 1 species